rnacentral:rRNA from 1 species
AUUGAACGCUGGCGGCAGGCCUAACACAUGCAAGUCGAGCGGUAGAGAGGUGCUUGCAUCUCUUGAGAGCGGCGGACGGGUGAGUAAUGCCUAGGAAUCUGCCUAGUGGUGGGGGAUAACGUUCGGAAACGGACGCUAAUACCGCAUACGUCCUACGGGAGAAAGCGGGGGAUCUUCGGACCUCGCGCCAUUAGAUGAGCCUAGGUCGGAUUAGCUAGUUGGUGAGGUAAUGGCUCACCAAGGCGACGAUCCGUAACUGGUCUGAGAGGAUGAUCAGUCACACUGGAACUGAGACACGGUCCAGACUCCUACGGGAGGCAGCAGUGGGGAAUAUUGGGACAAUGGGCGAAAGCCUGAUCCAGCCAUGCCGCGUGUGUGAAGAAGGUCUUCGGAUUGUAAA